UCCGGGGUAGCUCAAUUUGGCAGAUGCGCUCGACUGUUAAUCGAGAGGUUGUGGGUUCGAGUCCCACCCCCGGAG
rnacentral:tRNA from 2 species